GCAGUGGUGGUUCAGUGGUAGAAUUCUCACCUUCCAGGCAGGAGACCAGGUUCGAUUCCUGGCCAGUGUA
rnacentral:tRNA from 1 species